GACCGCGUGGGGGAGGAAGGCUUUAGGGUUGUAAACCCCUUUUCUUUGGGAAGAAGUUCUGACGGUACCAAAGGAAUCAGCCUCGGCUAACUCCGUGCCAGCAGCCGCGGUAAUACGGAGGAGGCAAGCGUUAUCCGGAAUGAUUGGGCGUAAAGCGUCCGCAGGUGGCCAUGUAAGUCUACUGUCAAAACCCAGGGCUCAACUCUGGUCAGGCAGUGGAAACUACAAAGCUAGAGUCUGGUAGGGGCAAAGGGAAUUCCCGGCGUAGCGGUGAAAUGCGUAGAUUUCGGGAAGAACAUCGGUGGCGAAAGCGCUUUGCUAGACCAGAACUGACACUCAGGGACGAAAGCUAGGGGAGCGAAUGGGAUUAGAUACCCCAGUAGUCCUAGCCGUAAACGAUGGAUACUAGGUGUUGCCUGUAUCGACCCAGGCAGUGCCGUAGCUAACGCGUUAAGUAUCCCGCCUGGGGAGUACGCACGCAAGUGUGAAACUYAAAGGAAUUGACGGGGGCCCGCACAAGCGGUGGAGUAUGYGGUUUAAUUCGAUGCAACGCGAAGAACCUUACCAGGACUUGACAUGUCGCGAAUCUCAGGGAAACUUGAGAGUGCCUUCGGGAGCGCGAACACAGGURGUGCAUGGCUGUCGUCAGCUCGUGUCGUGAGAUGUUGGGUUAAGUCCCGCAACGAGCGCAACCCUCGUUUUUAGUUGCCAUCAUUAAGUUGGGCACUCUAGAGAGACUGCCGGUGACAAACCGGAGGAAGGUGGGGAUGACGUCAAGUCAGCAUGCCCCUUACGUCCUGGGCUACACACGUACUACAAUGGYCUGGACAGAGGGUAGCCAACCCGCGAGGGCGAGCCAAUCUCAAAAACCAGGCCUCAGUUCAGAUUGCAGGCUGCAACUCGCCUGCAUGAAGGAGGAAUCGCUAGUAAUCGCAGGUCAGCAUACUGCGGUGAAUCCGUUCCCGGGCCUUGUACACACCGCCCGUCACACCAUGGAAGUUGGCCACGCCCGAAGUCAUUACUCUAACUCGUAAGAGAGGGGGAUGCCGARGGCCAGGGCUGAUG
rnacentral:rRNA from 1 species